UAGAUGCGAGAGUAGAGCAUAUCAAUAAGCGGAGGAAAAGAAACUAACAAGGAUUCCCUUAGUAACGGCGAGUGAAGCGGGAAGAGCUCAAAUUUGAAAUCCUUCAAGGUUCUACCUUGACGAAUUGUAGUUUAUAGAAGUGUUUUCUGUUAGUGGAGUGGCAAAAGUUCUUUGGAAUAGGACAUCAUAGAGGGUGAGAAUCCCGUAUUUGACCAUUAUUUCCAGCUGUGUGAUACACUUUCAAAGAGUCGGAUUGUUUGGGAGUGCAGUCCAAAAUGGGUGGUAAAUUUCAUCUAAAGCUAAAUAUUGGCGAGAGACCGAUAGCGAACAAGUACCGUGAGGGAAAGAUGAAAAGAACUUUGAAAAGAGAGUUAAACAGUACGUGAAAUUGUCAAAAGGGAAGCGUUUGACACCAGUGUUGUUUUCUCGAAAAUCAAUUAAAAAUGAUGGGAUUUUGUGUUGUAUUGACUUUAUCAGCUUUCUGCACUUUUUUCUUAUCUUUUUUAAUGCACUUUUCGUUUAACAAGUCAACAUCAAUUUCUUUUGUUGUAAAAGAGUCAUUGGAAGGUGGCUUUUUCUUCGGAAAAAGUGUUUAUAGCCUUUGGCUUCUGCAAUCGGAGAGAUUGAGGUCUGCAGCGUAGAUCCUUCGGGGUUAGAUACAUUUGUGCUAAGUUAUAGCUUUUCAUAGACAACUUGUUGACUAUGUUUAGUCUUGUAGCUUACUCGCUUAUGCUAUUUUACCUACGCUUAGGAUGUUGACACACGCGCGUGCUCG
rnacentral:rRNA from 1 species